GGGAAGAAAGAAAAAAAAGUAGAUCAAUGGAAAAUUUCUUCCGAAACGACUGAAACUCACAUACACCGAACGACAAAAUAAACACUAUUCAUGUAUGUCAGUAACUGUGUAAUACCUACGCAGAAAACGGGCCGGCAGUCUAACAGUCUCUUUCGAGCAACACUGUGUGAUGAGCAUUCUAGUUAUCAUAUGGUUCAAUGCUGCCGUCUGCCGGCUUGUUCCUUAUCAAUACAUUUAUUAUCAUUAAUCAAUUUCCAUUUACCGCCUUAGUGUCCGUUUUAAGACGAGAUUCACUAUACGCGUACGCGUGUCCGUUUUACUAUCACAGUUUAAACCUCGGUUGUAGAUUUUACCGGCCGAAUUCGGCGGUUUAACUAAUUGUACAGACGUUGUCAGAUAUAAAUUCAAAAUUGAGACGGUGGCUGCGGCGCUUUUCAGUAGUAACAUUGAAAUACGGAGAACCACGAUUAUAAAGAAAUUUCGCAUGACAAUUUACAAAAGAGUCUACUUAGACGUCAAUAGUUUGCAAAAUCCUGCUAAAGAGAAAAAGUAUAGAACGACUUAAAGUACAUAAGCUGUGCGCUCUGUGUGUGCACGAAUCAAAACAUUCGAGUGAAAGUUCAAAAGCUCUGAAUAAAUUAUUUGAUGGAAUCUUCAGCCUUCCUCUAGACAUAAAUAUUGUCCUACUCAUUGUGUCUAUGUCGUGUGUGCCUAUUAAAUGGGGAAAUUUGUCAGAAAACCUAUUUGCUAUAAUAUAACCAGUUACAUAUUGUGCACAAUGCUCCUCAAUGCUAUCGUAUGGUUCUUCAAUAUCUACCUAAAAUACAUAUUAUGUAUUCACUUCCAAUAAAUUUGUUUCAAUGCUGCAAUUGCUCCGAAUUUGUGUUGCUAAUGAACACUACACAUUUCAAUUAUUGUUAAUAUGAACCAUCUUAAGCCAAAGGGAUAAAAAAUGUAAUACUUAAUAAUUAUAUACUUUAUAAGUAUAAUAUCAAAUGAUGGAAAUGUAACAAACGAAAGCUUGAAAAUUAAA